AUUCACACCAAAACAGUACCUUUUGGGUUCUGGCUAGAAUAAUCAUCCUUCACCACCUGACUAAAUGCUCAUGCACUGAAUGAAGCAUUCUGUGCACCUCAUCAGCUCAUCAUAGUUAUCUCUAAUCAUGUCUUAACCAAAAAGUAGCAGGAAACAGGAGUGUGCUCAUCAAUGUUCAGACGGGAACAUCCACACCCAAAAUUCAACUAGAGAUUAAAACCGAGCUUUCCGUUUUCUAGCAGUAUACUUUGUGUUAGGAGGAACAUUAAUUCCUUUAUUUCUCAUUUGCUCCUUUUUCCUCAGUACCCAUUCUCUGCCCUUCCCUUUCUUGGUUAUUUUUUGCAUUUUCCUAGGUCUCUGCCUGUCUGAAAAGCGAACUGUCUGAUUUUCAUCUUCACUGAUUUCGUCAUCAGAACAACUUUCUUCAUCUUCACCUUUUGCCUUGGGAAUGGCUGUCGUUAUGGAUGGUGGUCCACAAGUGAGGACAAGGUAUUCUUUCCUGCUCUUGGUACUGUGUGGAUAGUCAAUUACCACGCCACCAGCAAAUCCAGCAUGCAUUGCAGAUCUCAAAAUCAGCUCACGCUGGGCUAGAUUUUCAGGAUACACUUGAAAUACUGCUCUAGCUCCCCUUGCCAGGCAUCUAUAUAAUGAUCCAAAGAAAGCCUUCAAUCUCAGUUUUGGCUCAUGGGAGGACUUGUCAGCAUUGCAUAACCACUGAACAGCAGAGAUACUGAUGGCACCAUCAAUAACUCCAGGACGAAGAGCUAAACCCUGCC
rnacentral:misc_RNA from 1 species